rnacentral:rRNA from 1 species
ACUCCUACGGGAGGCAGCAGUGGGGAAUUUUGGACAAUGGGCGAAAGCCUGAUCCAGCAAUGCCGCGUGAGUGAAGAAGGCCUUCGGGUUGUAAAGCUCUUUUGUCAGCGAAGAAACGGUGAAAGCUAAUAUCUUUUGCUAAUGACGGUACCUGAAGAAUAAGCACCGGCUAACUACGUGCCAGCAGCCGCGGUAAUACGUAGGGUGCAAGCGUUAAUCGGAAUUACUGGGCGUAAAGCGUGCGCAGGCGGUUUUGUAAGUCUGAUGUGAAAUCCCCGGGCUCAACCCGGGAAUUGCAUUGGAGACUGCAAGGCUAGAAUCUGGCAGAGGGGGGUAGAAUUCCACGUGUAGCAGUGAAAUGCGUAGAUAUGUGGAGGAACACCGAUGGCGAAGGCAGCCCCCUGGGUCAAGAUUGACGCUCAUGCACGAAAGCGUGGGGAGCAAACAGGAUUAGAAACCCCUGUAGUCC